rnacentral:tRNA from 1 species
GGUUGAGUGUCCGAGUGGCCGAUGGUGUAAGCUUGGAAAGUUUAUGUAGUUAAUUCUACCGAGAGUUCGAAUCUCUCCUCAACCACCA